UACGGAGGGUGCAAGCGUUAUCCGGAUUCACUGGGUUUAAAGGGUGCGUAGGUGGGCAAGUAAGUCAGUGGUGAAAUCUCCGGGCUUAACCCGGAAACUGCCAUUGAUACUAUUUGUCUUGAAUACUGUGGAGGUCAGCGGAAUAUGUCAUGUAGCGGUGAAAUGCUUAGAUAUGACAUAGAACACCAAUUGCGAAGGCAGCUGGCUACACAAAUAUUGACACUGAGGCACGAAAGCGUGGGGAUCAAAUAGG
rnacentral:rRNA from 1 species